GAUGAACGCUGGCGGCGUGCUUAACACAUGCAAGUCGAACGGAAAGGCCCUGCUUUUGUUGGGUGCUCGAGUGGCGAACGGGUGAGUAACACGUGAGUAACAUGCCCUUGUCUUUGUGAUAACUUCAGGAAACUGGGGCUCAUACCGGAUAGGAGCUCCUGCUCCAUGGUGGGGGUUGGUAAGUUUCGGCGUUUGGGUAUGUACUCGCGGGUUAUCAGCUUGUUUGUCGGGUUGUGGCUUACCAAGGCUUUGACGGGUAGCCGGCCUGGGAAGGUGACCGGCGACAAUGGGACUAAGAUACGGCCCAGACUCGUACGGGAGGCAGAAGGCGAGAAUAUUGCACAAUGGGCGGAAGCGAGAUGCAGAAAUGCCGGGUGCGGGAUGACGGCCUUCGAGUUGAAAACCGCUUUCGACUGUGACGGAGCGUGAGUGACGGUAAUGGGUAAAGAAGCACCGGCUAACUACGUG
rnacentral:rRNA from 1 species